rnacentral:rRNA from 1 species
GGUAUGGCCUCGGUGAAAUCAGGAGCGGCGGUAAAGCACUGGAUGGGCUAGGGGGCCUACAAGCUUACUAAACCCAACCAAACUCUGAAUUCCGUUCGCUGUUACACCGGGAGACAGUCCGCGGGUGAUAAGAUCCACGGGCGAGAGGGAAAGACCCCAGACCGCCAGCUAAGGUCCCAAAGCGCGCGCUAAGUGGUGAAGGAUGUGAAGUCGCGUAAACAACCAGGAGGUUGGCUUAGAAGCAGCCAUCCUUUAAAGAAAGCGUAACAGCUCACUGGUCGAACGUGAUUUUGCGCCGAAGAUUCAACGGGGCUAAGCGCGCCGCCGAAGCUGCGGAUUGCCGUUAUUUAUGUAACGGCACUGGUAGGGGAGCAUUGGAGUUACCGAUGAAGGUUGACCGAGAGGACAGCUGGAGGCCCUCCAAGAGAUUAUGUUGGCAUGAGUAGCGAUAAACCGGGUGAGAAACCCGGUCGCCGAAAACCCAAGGGUUCCCUGGCACGGGUAAUCCGCCAGGGGUUAGUCGGGCCCUAAGCCGAGGCCGAGAGGCGUAGGCGAUGGAAAACAGGUUAAUAUUCCUGUACCACUUCGAUGCGAAUGAAGCUAGAGGGGACGGAGAAGGGUAGGUACCGCCAGCGGAUGGAUGUGCUGGUUCAAGCAGGUAGGGGGUUCUUCCAGGAGGCAAAAUGCCACAAACGGAGGGACUUAACCCCGAGAUGUGAUGAGCUUAUCAAUGCUUCGGCUGCGAUAUGACGGGCUGAUCCCACGCUUCCAAGAAAAGCCUCGAGCGGACAAUUCGGGGUGCCCGUACCGUAAACCGACACAGGUGGGUCAGGUGAGUAACCUAAGGCGCUUGAGAGAAUCCUCCUUAAGGAACUCGGCAAAUUGCCACCUUAACUUCGGAAGAAGGGGGGCUUGGAAUCGUGUAGGGAUUGCCUCCGAAGGGGAAGCUGGGCCGAAGAUAGAAGGGGUAGCGACUGUUUACCAAAAACACAGCACUCUGCAAAGUCGUAAGACGACGUAUAGGGUGUGACGCCUGCCCGGUGCCGGAAGGUUAAGGGGAGAUGUUAGGGCAACCGAAGCAUUGAACCGAAGCCCCGGUAAACGGCGGCCGUAACUAUAACGGUCCUAAGGUAGCGAAAUUCCUUGUCGGGUAAGUUCCGACCUGCACGAAUGGCGUAACGACUUCCCCACUGUCUCGAGGAGGAACUCAGCGAAAUUGGAAUCUCGGUGCAGAUACCGAGUUCCCGCGGCAAGACGGAAAGACCCCGGAACCUUUACUGCAACUUGGCAGUGAGCAUUGCGUUUGCAUGUGUAGGAUAGGUGGGAGACGUUGAAGCAGGGGCGCUAGCCUCUGUGGAGUCAACCUUGAAAUACCACCCUUGCACGCGCGGUGUUCUAACCUACGCUAGUUAGCCUAGCGGGGGACACUGCCUGGUGGGUAGUUUGACUGGGGCGGUCGCCUCCCAAACUGUAACGGAGGCGUACAAAGGUUCCCUCAGCCUGAUUGGAAACCAGGCGUUGAGUGCAAAGGCAAAAGGGAGCUUGACUGCGAGACUUACAAGUCGAGCAGAUGCGAAAGCAGGUCUUAGUGAUCCGGUGGUCCCGCAUGGAAGGGCCAUCGCUCAUCGGCUAAAAGGUACUCUGGGGAUAACAGGCUGAUCACGCCUAAGAGUUCAUAUCGACGGCGUGGUUUGGCACCUCGAUGUCGGCCCAUCGCAUCCUGGGGCUGGAGCAGGUCCCAAGGGUCCGGCUGUUCGCCGGUUAAAGCGGUACGCGAGCUGGGUUCAGAACGUCGUGAGACAGUUCGGUCACUAUCUGCCGCGGGUGUAGGAUUCUUGAGAGAGGCUGCCCUUAGUACGAGAGGACCAGGGUGGACGAACCUCUGGUGUACCGGUUGUCGCGCCAGCGGCACUGCCGGGUAGCUACGUUCGGAACGGAUAACCGCUGAAAGCAUCUAAGUGGGAAGCCGGUCUCAAAACUAGGAAUCCCGGACGUAAGUCCCUGAAGACCCCUCGGAGACUACGAGGUUGAUAGGCCACAGGUGUAAGCGUAGUAAUACGUUCAGCCGAGUGGUACUAAUAGGUCGUGAGACUUGACCAU